CUCUCUCUCUUUCCUCCAUACUUCCUCUUACUCUUCUGCUCUUCAUUCCUCUACACCUUCUCUCAUUUCUUCAACUUCAAGUCCAUCAUCCUAUGAGCUUUUCCUCGUCAUAUCUGGUAUAAUUCUCUUUGUAAUGGUCACCUUUAUCAUCUCACAAUACUUAUACUUUGCUGUCUAUUUCUGUUUGGCUGCAAGAAGGAAGAGAUAUAGCAAUACUUCACUUCAAUUUAGAAUGUCCCCUAUCAGUGCUGUGGAGACUGGAAGGCAGCCUGUAAAUAUUUAGCUAGCUGUACACUUCUUUAAUCGGACGGUUCUCUAUAUUUCAUUGCACACUACUAGUAGCUGACAGAAACAUUUAUGCUCCCAUUUUUGUGAUUGUUUCUCAUUAUGAUUUGAUUUCAUUUAGCCUUUUUUCACAAGAUAAUAAAUUUAGACAAAA